GAGGCCCUAGCUUAAUUAAAGUGUCUGAUUUGCAAUCAGAAGAUAUAGAAGAGUUCUGUGGGUUUUA
rnacentral:tRNA from 1 species